GAUACCUAGAGGAGCCUGUUCUAUAAUCGAUAACCCCCGCUUAACCUCACCACUUCUUGCCAAUACCGCCUAUAUACCACCGUCGCCAGCCCACCCCGUGAGGGAAAUAGUAGGCACAAUGAUAAGUCACCAAAACGUCAGGUCAAGGUGUAGCGUAUGAAGUGGGAAGAAAUGGGCUACAUUCUCUAACCUAGAGCACACGAAAAAUCAUAUGAAAUUAGAUCAGAAGGAGGAUUUAGUAGUAAAAAGAAACAAUAGUGUUCUUUUUAAGUUGGCCCUGGGGCGCGCACACACCGCCCGUCACCCUCUUCAACUAAUAAAACACGAUUUAUAAAACAUAAAACAAACACAAGAAGAGGUAAGUCGUAACAUGGUAAGUAUACGGGAAGGUGUGCUUGGAAUUA
rnacentral:rRNA from 1 species